GUAAAACUUCCCAUGAUCUUCAGUAUUCACACUCUUCUUCUCCCUUCUUCCACUCUCAAGAUCCAACAUGAAAACUUUCUGUGUUAUAAAAUCCACAAAAACCUCAAAAAAGUGAUGAUAUAAUUCAUCAAAAUUACAAUCAUAUGGCACAACCCAAGAAAACCCUAAAAAAUUUUAUCCCACUUUUCAUACUGCUCACUCUUUCUGCUCUUUUCCUCUUCUCUUUUCACCCAUCAAACUUAAAUUCCACCAAAUCUUUCUCUUUUAAUCCUUACAACAACCCCCAAACUCACCAAAACUUCACUUUCAUCAUCAAAGUUCUCACCUUUAAUCGCUUUGAGUCCCUUUCAAGAUGCCUAAAUUCACUUUCCAAAGCAAAAUAUGAUAACCAUGUUGUUCAUUUACAUAUAUACAUUGAUCAUUUUCAAGAUUCCUCAAAAGGGUAUGUGGUAAUUGACGAAAGAUUGAAUCUUUCUAAAAGAAUUCUUGAUUUUGUUGAUGGGUUUAAUUGGGAAUUUGGUGAAAAGUUGGUGCAUUAUAGGACUUCAAAUGCUGGACUUCAAGCUCAGUGGUUGGAAGCUUGGUGGCCUAGUUCAGAUGAUGAAUUUGCAUUUGUUGUAGAGGAUGAUCUUGAGUUGUCACCUCUUUAUUUUAGGUUCUUGAAAAGUUUGAUUGAGAAUUAUUAUUAUAAUGAGUCCAAUUUUAGUCCUAUGAUUUAUGGAGCUUCAUUGCAGCGGCCAAGGUUUGUUGCAGGUAAACAUGGAAACAAGAUGCAGAUUGAUGAUGGAACUCAACUUUUCUUGUACCAGUUGGUCGGCACUUGGGGUCAACUUCUGUUUCCAAGACCUUGGAAAGAAUUCCGCAUAUGGUAUGACAUACACAAGGCCAAAGGAUUGAAGCCAGUUCUAGACGGGAUGGUGACAACAGGAUGGUACAAAAAGAUGGGAGAAAGAAUCUGGACACCUUGGUUCAUUAAAUUUAUCCAUGCACGUGGUUACUUUAAUAUUUAUACCAACCUUUUGCAUGAGCGAGCUUUUAGUGUGUCGCAUCGCGAUGCUGGUGUUAACUAUGGGAAGUCAGUUGGGCCAGAUUCUUCUUUAGUGGAUGAAAAGUCUUUUGAUCUUAAUCUUUUGAAGCUGCAAUCUUUGCGCAGCCUGAAGUGGUAUGAUUUCUGUUUCAAGGAAGUUUUCCCUGGUAGAGUCGUGCACAGUUCUGAUGAUUUGGUGCCUGUUCUUCAGUCAGUUCAGAAAUUGAAGACUAUAAUAUAUGUGAACCUACAACAGGUGUCAGAGUCAAUUAUUAGGAAUCUUCUCUGCCACUUUGAUAGAUUGAAUAUCCAAAACUAUGUAAUAUUGGGUCCACAGACGGAUUUGCUUCUGGAUCUUGCGAGAAGGGGCUAUCCGGUGAUUGACACAGACCAAUUUUUUGACAGUAUUAGGUUACAAAACUCAAUCAACUUUGAUAAAUCGCAUGAAAAAUUGGGUAAAGAUAUUGUUGUGAAGGCCCAUGUAAUAAGAAAGUCAUUGGAACUUAAAUACAGCACAUGGGUUGUGGAUAGUGACGUGAUUCCUCUCAGCAGUGAUUCAUUUCUUGAUUCCUAUGAUCCGGCGGGAAAUGACUUUUUCUUGGGGAAGAACUUUAAACUAGUCUUCAUUAGAAAUUCAUCAUCUGCUUUAAAGAUUUGGGUUGACAAUGUUCUGGACAAAAUUGUUGCCUCGAUUGCCAAUUUGAAGACAAGAGGUUCAAUUGCCACCGAGAGAAAUUUUGUAAAUUUAGUCGAGAAGUUAUUGGAACAAAAGAGAACUACAUUUAACAGGGUUGAUGAAACUGAUUUUAGUUUGAACAUCAGUUAUAUGGAUUCUAACCAAACCUCUUCAAGGAAUGGAAAGAAGUUUGCCUUUUGGUCACCUGAGAUAGGUUCAGAGACGAUACAAAAACGACUUGAACAGUUUGCUAUGUGGGUUGUGGAUAGCGAAUUAUCUUGUAAUGCAGUUGUUUGUCAUCCAUCAUAGCGCGUUCUUCAGUGUAUCUACUGUUAAAGCUUACGAUUUCUGCCUAUUGUUUGAUGGAUCGUACAUGUUGGUAUUGAAGACAAAAAGAGUGGAGGAGAACAGAAAGGGCAAACUGAACUGCUACGUGUUUGAAGAAUUCGUUCAACUGAAGGCAUUCGUUCGGAGUCAACAUGAUGCAGUAAUGACAUUGUGAUUGAUUCUUAGGCCAUAUUUGGCUGCUCAUUUUUGCUGAUGAUCAUCUUCGCUAAAUCUGGAGAUCGAUCGAGUAUUUGCCGCUAGCUCUAGAAACCUUGUUGCUACAAUUUGCUAAGGUGGCACCCAGAGCAUUUCAAGUCUUUCAUUUUGCUUUUCCGUGAGGGAUGUCACCUAAUUGGGAAGAUCAUGAGCUAGAGGAGGAAAAGUACUCGCGCCUGGUGCGCACCCAGCCAACAAGUGCAUGGCAUGUGUCUUUUGCAUAUGAUGUACAUUGCUUAAUUUUACUUGACCAUGGUAAAUUAGCAUAGUUUGGUGGAUGCUCCUAACAAAUGAAAUUGUAUUACAUUCUAUGAUCUUUAAUCCAA